GACAGAGGGUGCAAACGUUGUUCGGAAUUACUGGGCGUAAAGCGUGCGCAGGCGGUUUUGUAAGCCAGAUGUGAAAGCCCCGGGCUCAACCUGGGAAUGGCAUUUGGGACUGCAAGGCUGGAGUUUGGCAGAGGAGACUGGAAUUCCCGGUGUAGCAGUGAAAUGCGUAGAUAUCGGGAGGAAUACCGAUGGCGAAGGCAGGUCUCUGGGCUAUAACUGACGCUCAUGCACGAAAGCGUGGGGAGCAAACAGG
rnacentral:rRNA from 1 species